rnacentral:rRNA from 1 species
UACGUAGGGUGCAAGCGUUAAUCGGAAUUACUGGGCGUAAAGCGUGCGCAGGCGGUUAUGUAAGUCAGACGUGAAAUCCCCAGGCUCAACCUGGGAACUGCGUCUGAUACUGGAUGGCUUGAAUCCGGGAGAGGGAUGCAGAAUUCCAGGUGUAGCGGUGAAAUGCGUAGAUAUCUGGAGGAAUACCGGUGGCGAAGGCGGCAUCCUGGACCGGCAUUGACGCUGAGGAGCGAAAGCCAGGGGAGCAAACGGG